rnacentral:rRNA from 1 species
AUUGAACGCUGGCGGCAUGCCUUACACAUGCAAGUCGAACGGUAACGGGCCUUCUGUUGCCGACGAGUGGCGAACGGGUGAGUAAUACAUCGGAACGUGCCCGAUCGUGGGGGAUAACGAGGCGAGAGCUUUGCUAAUACCGCAUACGAUCUACGGAUGAAAGCAGGGGACCGCAAGGCCUUGCGCGGACGGAGCGGCCGAUGGCAGAUUAGGUAGUUGGUGGGAUAAAAGCUUACCAAGCCGACGAACUGUAGCUGGUCUGAGAGGAUGAUCAGCCACACUGGGACUGAGACACGGCCCAGACUCCUACGGGAGGCAGCAGUGGGGAAUUUUGGACAAUGGGCGCAAGCAUGAUCCAGCCAUGCCGCGUGCAGGAUGAAGGCCUUCGGGUUGUAAACUGCUUUUGUACGGAACGAAAAGCCUUCUUUUAAUACAGGAGGGUCAUGACGGUACCGUAAGAAUAAGCACCGGCUAACUACGUG